GGUGGAUGGAGGGCAAGUAGUGUCGUUAGUUUCGUGCUUGAAGGGGCUAGGCAAGACAUGCUGAUCACCAAGAAAAUGCUGCUAACGCUGUUGCGUCUGACGUGGCCGUGUCUAUCGACAGCGCUCCCCAAUCUGCCCUUCCAAUCUGCAAUCGCCUUUGGCCCGAAUGAAGCGGCGCCUCAGUCGGAUCCUUUCCUGCUGGGUCUGCCUGCCAGUGUCGCCUUCCUCGGGGACCAAUGAAGCGGCGCCCCUGCACGCCUGAGCCGCUCC
rnacentral:lncRNA from 1 species